rnacentral:tRNA from 1 species
GCAGAGGUGGCUCAGAGGUUAAGAGCACUGGUGGCCUUUCCCAAGGACCUGGGUUUGAUUCCCAGCAUCCGCA